AUUGAACGCUAGCGGGAUGCCUUACACAUGCAAGUCGAACGGAGUGGCGAACGGGUGAGUAAUGUAUCGGAACGUGCCCAGUAGCGGGGGAUAACUACGCGAAAGCGUAGCUAAUACCGCAUACUAUUUGAGCGGCCGAUAUCGGGUUAGCUAGUUGGGGGGUUAACGGCUCACCAAGUCGACGAUCCGUAGCUGGUUUGAGAGGAAGACCAGCCACAAUGGGACGGAGACACGGCCCAGACGACUACGGGAGGCAGCAGGGGGGAAGUUGGGACAAUGGGGGAAACCCUGAUCAAGCCAUGCCGCGUGUGCGAUGAAGGCCUUCGGGUUGUAAAGAACUGUUGGCAGGAAAGCGGUACCUGCAGAAUAAGCACCGGCUAACUACGUGCCAGCAGCCGCGGUAAUUC
rnacentral:rRNA from 1 species